UUGACCCGUCUUGAAACACGGACCAAGGAGUCUAACACGUGCGCGAGUCAUUGGGUCUCGAAUAAGCCCAAAGGCGCAAUGAAAGUGAAGGUCGGUUCCGCCGGCUGCCUUGAGAUCCCGAUUCGAUACGUCGAGUCGGGCGCACCAAGGGCCCGUCCCGAUAGCAACGUCUACGGGGCGGAGCGAGAGCGUACACGUUGGGACCCGAAAGAUGGUGAACUAUGCCUGGGCAGGACGAAGCCAGAGGAAACUCUGGUGGAGGUCCGCAGCGAUUCUGACGUGCAAAUCGAUCGUCAGACCUGGGUAUAGGGGCGAAAGACUAAUCGAACCAUCUAGUAGCUGGUUCCUUCCGAA
rnacentral:rRNA from 1 species